rnacentral:rRNA from 1 species
GACAUAGGGGGCAAGCGUUGCUCGGAAUUACUGGGCGUAAAGGGCGCGUAGGCGGGAUGGCAAGUCGGUCGUGAAAUCCCUCGGCUCAACCGAGGAACGUCGAUCGAUACUGCUGUUCUUGAGGAUUGCAGAGGAGACUGGAAUUCCCGGUGUAGCGGUGAAAUGUGUAGAGAUCGGGAGGAACACCGGUGGCGAAGGCGGGUCUCUGGGCAAUUCCUGACGCUGAGGCGCGAAAGCGUGGGGAGCAAACGGG